CCUGUAGAUCUACUCAGGCUACAUGCAGAAGAGAGACAUGAUAUAGGGAGAGAAGAGAAGCAAGGUGACUGCUGUAAAUGAAAAGGGCCUUAAGAGAUGAAUGAUGUGUGGAUGCUCUUUGGAUCCUGUUGCAAGCAAACAACCGUUAAAGGCAUUUUUGAGAGUCCUACUGCAUUUUCUUGGUACUUCUGCUGUGUCCUUCAGUACAGUCUGCCUUGCGACAGGGUGACUUAUGUAUACAUCUGUCUCCCCGACUCGACUCUGGACUUCCAAAGGGCAGAGACUGUGUCUUUUUUAAAUGUUCAAACACGUGCAUCAUGUUCCAUUAGAGUCGGAAGGGACUUUAGAAGUCACCUAAUCCAGCCCCUCAUCUGACAGAUGAGGAGACUGAGGGUGAAUGAUGCGCCCCUCAUCACAUGGCCAGUGGUUGAACCACAGUCUGAGCCCUGGCACUGCUGCCUACCAGCUAUGCCAUCUGAGCCUCAAACUCUUCAUCUUAAAAAAGGGCAUAAU